UACAAAUGCCUUGCGUGAGGGGUCUCAUGGUGACUAAUGUUUUGAUUAUUUGAUAAUUGAUUCUACCGAUUUCAACCUACAGAUUAAAUCAUGAGAAGUCUCGAGGUUACUAAUGUUUCGAUUAUUUGAUUAUGCUUAUUUCAACCUACAGAUCCAAACCAUAAAAGAAAAUGGCUUAAUUGCACUUUUGCUCCCUCAUCUUUUAUCAUUGUGCGAAGUUCAUCCCUCAUGUUUAAAAUGAGCGAAUUUUCUCCCUCAUAUUUCAAAUUGUGAAAAUCAGCUCCUUCCGUUAGUGAGCCGUUUAAAACUUAACGGAGCAGCUGACAUGGCUUACUAUUUGCACCCCUUGUUUCCAAUUUACACCUACACCCCCUGUUUUAAACUGAUAAACCGUUAAAAAAAAAGGAAAAUGAAAUUGAGGCUUAAAUCUUCAUCUUCAACCUCAUCCCUAUCAUCAAACAAAACCCAGAAACUAAAGGGUUAAUUUUUUUUGAAAAAGAAAAUUAUAGAACUCAUUCUCUUAAGGUAAUCGUACUGUAUCUGGUAAAUGAUGAGUGAUGACCUGCAAAAUGGGAUUUAAAGUCAAAGAUUGAGAUGAAACAUAAGCAUAUGUUAAUUACACAUUAAAAAAAUAAAAUUAGAAAACAAGAAUUGUAAAAAAAAUCUCAAAUCUCUUUCUUCUUCAUCUUAAUUCCGGAUUACCAAUCAUUCAUGGCCAUCAUCCAUAAAAUCAUCAAACCUCUAUCUUCCAUCUUCUUCAACCAAACCCAGACCUCCUUCCAACAUCUUCAUGAAAAUCAAAACCUAAUCUCCAGAAAAUCAAACUUAUUCCCAAAAAAUCAGACCCAUUCAAAUGUUUUAAACCCAGAAAAAACAUUCAAAACCUAGAAAAAAAUCCAAAUAUUCAGCAAGAAGUGGGCCAAAGGAUUAACCCAGGUCGAGAUUAACCCAAACCCUAGAAAAAAUCUGAAUCCUAAUCGAAUACAGGGGUUACUCUGAGGAAAAAACGAGUGUGUCAAAGGGAUUAACUCAAACCACACCAUCCCCUCCCUUUUCGAGUCGCUGCACACGCCAAACCCACCAUCGUUGCUCUAAGAAUCACCGUUGCAGUACCCAAACCCCAUCAUCUUCUCCUUUUGAUCAACCUCGACCCACCUACCAGAUCUGCAGCGAGAAGAUGCGAAGAAAGCUCUAACCUGCAACAUCUAUCUCUCUCUCUCUCCCAAUCUGCAAAUCCUUCAGUCAGAUAGCGGAGGAGCUGCAACCACGGUGCCUCUCUCUCUUGUUAUUCGUGGGAUUGCAAAAACAUUUGUGGUACUGAAUCGUCUGCGAGGUCAUGGUGUGCAUUCAACCAUGCUCAGUGUAUGCACAAGAAGAACCAUUGAACGUUUCUGCUUCUGCUUUGUCGUUUAUUUCAUUUAUUUUUUCCUUUAUUUUUAUUUCUGAUUGAGGGGUGUGGUUAGUAAAAGGAGGUGGUGAAAAUAGCAACCGCCGUUAGUAAUUGGAUGGAAAACUAACCGCAGCACAAUUUGAAACAUGAGGGAGGAAAUUCGCUCAUUUUAAUCAUGGGGGAGGGACUUCGCACAAUGGCAAAAGAUGAGGGAGCAAAUGUGCAAUUAAGCCAAAGAAAAUUACUUCACAGAGAUGAACGAAGUGUACCAGAAAGUUGCUUUGAGACUUCAGCAGGUUUUUCAAUGUCAAAUGACUUAUUGAGUACUGACUCUGAAAAGUGAGGUGCUCACACACUACCCUCUCCUUCUCAGGUAUCCACGUCAUUUGUCGAUAUGUAAUAUCUUUAUUUUCCUUCAACGGUUAAUAUAAUUCAUGUUCAAUCUUAAUUUUGGUUUGCCAACAAUCCAUGCAUGUUCAAGAGUCACUCUUCUUUUGGGGUUCUUGGCUUUCGUGUGUUUUGCUUCCUCUCAUGGACAAGUAAGUUGAUGAGUUGAGACAUCUAACUGAUACAAAACAGAUGAUUAUUUUAAAUUAAUGUGUUUCCAUUCAGUACUUUCCCCUCAUAUUAAAAGUUUUAAUGUGAUUUUCUCAAAUAUAAAUCCUUUUCAAUUCUUCCAGUAGACAUUAGACUGCAAAUCUUCAAUGAAUUGGUGUAUUCUCAAUGCCUAACAGUGUAGCCUCUCAAUGUAUUUCGAUAUUGUUCUCUUCACUGUCUUCAGCUACAGUACAUUAGUGUUAUAUAUAUGUUUUGAUGGCAUAAUGUUUACUUGAAAGACUAUCCUGAAGUGCAUGAUGGUUUGGUGGAUGCCAUUUUGUCUUAAGGAUUUUGUCUUUACUUUUUGUUGGUAUUUCAGUACUAUUUCUGCAGGUUCUAACAUGAAAGAUAAUUAAUUGCAACUCAUAAAUAAUUGCUCCAAUCUUUAAACAUUGAUUCUGAAUAAUUCAGACCAAUUUUUACAACACUGGACAUUAGCAGUAAACUACCAAAAGUUUCUACUUUUUUCUAUGAUUAGAAAAGUGAAGUGGUGGAAUAGAAAAGGUUGUUGCUGAGGGAUGAGCUGGAAGCCUGAAUUUUUAUGGGAGCUAAUGAGUUUGUUGAAGCCCUUUUGCAGUUUUACAAUCAGUUGUGCAUGAAGGAAAUUUGAUGGCUCAGGAAGUUGGAGCAAUGGCCCUCUUCAACCUUGCUUUGAAAAACAAUAGGAAUCUGUUGUGUAAAAUUUUAUAGUUGUUUAGGUGUUGAACCAUGAAGUAAAACUGAUUAUCAUAUGAUUGAAAAAUCAAAACAAUUCUUGAUGUUUGAAUACUGAGACCUUGAAUUUUAGCCAAAGUCUUACCCUUCAUGAUCUUUUAUUAUGAAAAUCAUCUUCAAUAAAAAAAUCAUCUACAAGAUUUGGGCAAUGGUAAUGCUCUAGCUCUUCAACCUUGCAUGAUGUGUUUGAAAUUAAGCAGCAGCUUUUUUCUAGAACUUGCACUUGACUUCCUUUAUCCAUUCUCUAGGCUAUUAAAUACUUACAGUGUUUCUCUCUCUCUCUCUCUCUCUCUCUCUAAAUAGAAUAAGGUAGAAUUUGCAGUUUAUUUUCUUUAUUGCAUAAAGUAUUGUAGUAUAAUUUCUAAAUUGUGACUUCUCUCAAUAUAAUAUGACUGACAUUUGCAGAUCCUUAAUUAAUGGGAACAUGUUUGAAACAUUUUAAUAAUGGAAACACAAAUGGAUCAAAUUAUGCUGAAGUUGGAAAUGAGUAAGAGGUUGUUGACACAUGGUGGUGAAUGAAAAUUGGGAUUGUGAUGAAGGCAGCAAGGAGUGACCAGAAGGCAUAGAGGUUUGCUGGGCUACUGGACGUGAUACAAGCAGGACUGAUCAGACUUGGCUGGGCUGCUGGACGUGGUACAAGCAGGACUAAUAACACUCAGUGUGCAAUUUGAUUGAUCUGAGGAAGUCUUUAGAAGUUGCGGCUGCUAUGAUUGUUACUCUGGUGUUGCUUUAUUAAGAUUAGUUUGUACAUACUCACUCUGUUUGUACAAGAUUUAGUUUCAAUAUUUAAAAAAAAAUGAAGGAACGUUGGAUUUAGUUUGAGGAAAGCAUAAAGAUAUGGUUCUGAUCAAUUAUUGUACCUGAUUGAUGUUGGGAAUUCACUAUUUAAUUACUUAUCAGUUAUAAUUCAUGAAUACCAUUCUGGUCA